rnacentral:rRNA from 2 species
UACAGAGACUGCAAGCGUUACUCGGAAUCACUGGGCGUAAAGGGAGCGCAGGCGGACCGAUGUGUCGGGUGUGAAACCCCGGGGCUCAACCCCGGGACUGCGCCCGAAACUGUCGGUCUAGGGACUCGGAGGGGCUAGUGGAAUUCCUGGUGGAGCAGUGAAAUGCGUAGAUAUCAGGAGGAACACCAACGGCGAAGGCAGCUAGCUGGACGAGAUCCGACGCUCAGGCUCGAAAGUAUGGGGAGCAAAAAGG